UACGUAGGGGGCGAGCGUUGUCCGGAUUUAUUGGGCGUAAAGAGCUCGUAGGCGGCUUGGCAAGUCGGGUGUGAAACCUCCAGGCUCAACCUGGAGACGCCACUCGAUACUGCUAUGGCUAGAGUCCGGUAGGGGACCACGGAAUUCCUGGUGUAGCGGUGAAAUGCGUAGAUAUCUGGAGGAACACCGGUGGCGAAGGCGGCAUCCUGGACCAACACUGACGCUGAGUGAGCGAAAGCCAGGGGAGCAAACGGG
rnacentral:rRNA from 1 species